AUCCAGCUGAUGCGUCUCAAAUAAGACGAAAUGUGCAACCUGGAU
rnacentral:hammerhead_ribozyme from 1 species